rnacentral:siRNA from 1 species
AAGCCGGUAUUGUCGGAGGUGCUA